CCUACGGGAGGCUGCAGUGGGGAAUAUUGGACAAUGGGGGGAACCCUGAUCCAGCCAUGCCGCGUGUGUGAAGAAGGCCCUCGGGUUGUAAAGCACUUUCAGUGAGGAAGAACGCCUGGUGGUUAAUACCCAUCAGGAAAGACAUCACUCACAGAAGAAGCACCGGCUAACUCCGUGCCAGCAGCCGCGGUAAUACGGAGGGUGCGAGCGUUAAUCGGAAUUACUGGGCGUAAAGCGCGCGUAGGUGGCUUGAUAAGCCGGUUGUGAAAGCCCCGGGCUCAACCUGGGAACGGCAUCCGGAACUGUCAAGCUAGAGUGCAGGAGAGGAAGGUAGAAUUCCCAGUGUAGCGGUGAAAUGCGUAGAGAUCGGGAGGAAUACCAGUGGCGAAGGCGGCCUUCUGGACUGACACUGACACUGAGGUGCGAAAGCGUGGGUAGCAAACAGGAUUAGAUACCCUUGUAGUC
rnacentral:rRNA from 1 species